UUACAGUUAGAGAGACGAACCCGUUUUUCUAUGGAGCGAGAUAAGCACGAUGAGGAAUGCAACAUGUUGUUUAAAAGUACAUAGAGGGCUUAAACCGACAUAUUGAUGUAUUACAGGAGGAUAAGACAGCAGCUGCUAGCUCUUUGCAAGCUACCGCUACAAUUCAUUUAAUGCUAAACACUUUAAUUGAUGAGUAGGAGUUUCUAUUUCAAAGCCUGCCAGAAAAUCUUCACUCGUUAGGAGAAUUAAAACAUGUUCAGAGUUGAUUCAACAGGUGUCUGAGGGGAAAUAUUCAAGGUUUACUUCCACAUACGUUUGAAACGCUGCAGUAGUUUUGUGUUUUACCACGGUGUUUUGGUUCAGUUUAUGCGGAUGCCUCUAAUGAGUGUAAAAGCAUAGCCACCAUCUGUUUCAAAUGUGCAAGACUUCUCAUCCGCUGGAAGUCUCCAUGGCUCCCUAGUUAAAACAUCACAGGGUAACUGUUAAGGAUGUCACAUUUGUUCUGGGGAAAUGUUUGUGAUUUUCAUCCAGUGCCAAAGCUUUUAGAGACCACCACUGCAUCAUGGGUAACAAGCAGGACCAAGAGUGCAGACAUGAAUGAUUGUCAAUCAUAUAGAAGCACACUGAAGAAGAGAUCAGAGUAUCAUAGAGACCUGAGGGGACUUGCUGUUUUGACUUGAACUAGAUUUCAGGGAGAGUGUUGUGAUGCAGGCUAAAAGCUCCAGGACAGUGUGGAGAGAUGAAUUGUGGGACAUAAAAGAAAAGGUCAGUGGCUCUGGUGUAAAGGGCACCGCUCACUGUGUAUUAGAAUGGAAUAAUUGACAGAUAUGCUUGUUAAUUUGUUUUAUAUAAGAACACACCCUGAUAAUUGAAAACAGCAUUGAAAAGCAUGUGUUUAC